CGAGCAGGCUAGAUGAUCGUCUCUAUAUUUAUAUAGAGGAGGAAAGUCCGAGCUCCAUAGGGCAUGGACGGCUGUUAACGGCAGCCGGGGGCGACCCCAGGGAAAGUGCCACAGAAAAUAAACCGCCUAUGAAUUUAGGUAAGGGUGAAACGGUGAGGUAAAAGCUCACCUGCCGCUAUGGUGACAUAGAGGUUAGGUAAACCCCGUCCGGAGCAAGACCUAAUAGGUUUCAUCUUUUAGUCUGCCCAACUAUUCCGCUAAUCACGGAGGAUGAAACGGGUACGGUCGCUAAAGAAUGUGAGCAAUCUCAUUCAUAGAUGAAUGGUCAUCUAAUACAGAACUCGGCUUAUAGCCUGCUCGAAAU
rnacentral:RNase_P_RNA from 1 species